GCUUACGGCCAUACCACCCUGGAAAUACCCGAUCUCAUCUGAACUCGGAAGUAAUGCAGGGUCGGGCCUGGUUAGUACUUGAAUGGGAGACCGCCUGGGAAUACCAGGUGCUGUAAGCU
rfam:Danio rerio chromosome 4, GRCz11 reference primary assembly.